GAGGGUAGAGCUCAAGCGGUGGAGGGCAUGCUUAGUGCGCGUGAGGUCCUGGGUUCAAUCCCCAGUACUUCCU
rnacentral:tRNA from 1 species